AACUUGAUCUUCAAUGAACUCUGCUAAGCAGAGCUGAUUGAAGAUCAAGCUGA
rnacentral:pre_miRNA from 1 species